rnacentral:lncRNA from 1 species
CCUGCCGUAGAGUCUAUAAGUCUGUUUAUGAGAGGAAGAGGAAAGCUAUCAUUCGGGCAUCCUUCGUUUAGGUCGGUGUAAUCGACACACAUUCUCCACAAGACCUUUUAGAGCAGGAGAAUUUCCUUGGUCGGAUUCUUCUUAACAAGGACAACAUUUGCUACCCACGUUGGAUAAUUGAUUUCGCGGACGAAGCCUAUGACUUUGAGUUUUUCAACUUCUGCCUUUAUUGCCUCGUAUCGUUCAGCGUCAUAAGAUCUUCGCUUCUGUCUCACUGGCUUGGUCUUGGGGUCAAUACUUAAACGAUGACAGAUUAUAUCUGGAGAGAUGCCUGGCAUGUCCUCGUAUGACCAGGCGAAUGUUGGAAAUGUGCCCUAAAGCCAAUCAUAUGAUGAUACUUUACGGACAUUUUACAUGUUAAACUUAUCUAGUUUAACUAUAAAGGGCAAAGAUUAUUGUUUGAGCCGUCUCAUAUAAAUGUUAUAUGCUUAAAC